CCUACGGGCGGCAGCAGUGAGGAAUAUUGGUCAAUGGUCGGGAGACUGAACCAGCCAAGCCGCGUGAGGGAUGAAGGUACAGAGUAUCGUAAACCUCUUUUGUCAGGGAACAAAGGCGGGGACGUGUCCCCGGAUGAGUGUACCUGAAGAAAAAGCAUCGGCUAACUCCGUGCCAGCAGCCGCGGUAAUACGGAGGAUGCGAGCGUUAUCCGGAUUUAUUGGGUUUAAAGGGUGCGCGGGCGGUCUGUUAAGUCAGCGGGAAAAGCCCGGGGCUCAACCCCGGACCGCCGUUGAAACUGGCAGUCUCGAGUUGGAGAGAGGUAUGCGGAAUGCGCGGUGUAGCGGUGAAAUGCAUAGAUAUCGCGCAGAACUCCGAUUGCGAAGGCAGCAUGCCGGCUCCACACUGACGCUGAGGCACGAAAGCGUGGGUAUCGAACAGGAUUAGAUACCCGUGUAGUC
rnacentral:rRNA from 1 species